CAGCCCGGCACAGCCCGGCACAGCCCGGCACAGCCCGGCACAGCCCGGCACAGCCCGGCACAGCCCGGCACAGCCCGGUACAGCCCGGCACAGCCCGGCACAGCCCGGUACAGCCCGGUACAUCCCGGUACAGCCCGGUACAGCCCGGCACAGCCCGGUACAGCCCGGUACAGCCCGGCCCAACGCAGCCUGGCACAGCCUGGCCCGGUGCAGUCCAACCCAGCCUGGCACAGCCCGGCCCGGCCUCUCCCCGGCGGAGCUAGCUCGGAGACAAGCACAGCCCGGCAGCGUUUCGCCCCCCUUGGCUUGGGGGAGCGCAGCAGAGAUUUUGGGGUCGUUUGGGUGGGGGUUUCUUUCCUUUCCUUUCCUUUUUUUUUUUUUAGUGUAAAAUUCGGUUUGUUUUCCCCCACGUCUGUGCCUGCUGGCGGGCACGGCCGGCUCUGCCCUCCCGGAGGAAUGAAUGCCCGCUCCCGCAGCCCGGCUCCUCUCUGCGGCCGGAGGAAUCUCACACAGCGCGCCAUAUGCUGCGCGCUAACUUUAAAGAUGCAUCAUCAUGCAAUGAAGGUUGGAAGAGCGGCAGAAAGGCAGGAAUGUGUAAGCGCUUUUAUCGCGCCCUCCUCGCCGUCUGCCCGGGCAGCCGGGCCCACGGGCGAGCCUCGGGAAAAGCAGCACGCAGGAAAAGCAGCACGCAGGAAAAGCCAGGCCACGCAGGAAAAGCAGCACGCAGGAAAAGCAGCACGCAGGAAAAGCAGCACGCAGGAAAAGCAGCACGCAGGAAAAGCCGGGCCACGCGUGUGUGCAGGCGCUGCGAGCAGCGAGCCCGCACGGCCACGUCCUGCGGGCCACCAGAGCCCUUCCCCGAGCACCGGCCUGGCAGGGCACUGCCCAAACUUCCCGCGAGUUUUUAUUUUUCCUCAUUCUUUUCCUGCUUCUCCUUCUUUUCAUUUAUAUAUAUAUAUAUUUUUUUUUUAAAAACGUGUCCUUUCCCCUCCACCCUUCUCAGGUGUACACAGAUUAGAAGUGGAGUUAGCAGCCAAAAUUACUGGUAA
rnacentral:lncRNA from 1 species